UACGUAGGGUGCAAGCGUUAAUCGGAAUUACUGGGCGCAAAGCGUGCGCAGGCGGUUUUGUAAGUCUGAUGUGAAAUCCCCGGGCUCAACCUGGGAAUUGCAUUGGAGACUGCAAGGCUAGAAUCUGGCAGAGGGGGGUAGAAUUCCACGUGUAGCAGUGAAAUGCGUAGAGAUGUGGAGGAACACCGAUGGCGAAGGCAGCCCCCUGGGUCAAGAUUGACGCUCAUGCACGAAAGCGUGGGGAGCAAACAGG
rnacentral:rRNA from 1 species